CGUUCAUCGGCGUAGGGUGAGUCGGCCCCUAAGGCGAGGCAGAGAUGCGUAGCUGAUGGGAAACAGGUCAAUAUUCCUGUACCGAUGUGUAGUGCGAUGUGGGGACGGAGAAGGUUAGCUCAGCCAACUGUUGGAUAUGUUGGUUCAAGCCUGUAGUCGUGCCUGGUAGGCAAAUCCGCCGGGCUUAGAUGAGGGGUGAUAACGAGUCUGCUUGCAGACGAAGUGAGUGAUACCCUGCUUCCAGGAAAAGCCACUAAGCUUCAGCUACACACGACCGUACCGCAAACCGACACUGGUGCGCGAGAUGAGUAUUCUAAGGCG
rnacentral:rRNA from 1 species